rnacentral:rRNA from 1 species
UACAGAGGUGCCGAGCGUUAGGCGGAAUCACUGGGCUUAAAGCGUGUGUAGGCGGACUUCUAAGUACCUUGUGAAAUCCCACGGCUCACCCGUGGAACUGCUGGGUAUACUGGUCGUCUUGAGCCACCUAGGGGCGAGCGGAACAAACGGUGGAGCGGUGAAAUGCGUAGAUAUCAUUUGGAACGCCAACGGUGAAAACAGCUCGCUGGGGGUGUGCUGACGCUGAGACACGAAAGCCAGGGUAGCGAACGGG